GAUGAACGCUGGCGGCGUGCCUAAUACAUGCAAGUCGAGCGAACGGACGAGAAGCUUGCUUCUCUGAUGUUAGCGGCGGACGGGUGAGUAACACGUGGAUAACCUACCUAUAAGACUUGGAUAACUUCGGGAAACCGGAGCUAAUACCGGAUAAUAUUUUGAACCGCAUGGUUCAAAAGUUAAAGACGGUCUUGCUGUCACUUAUAGAUGGAUCCGCGCUGCAUUAGCUAGUUGGUAAGGUAACGGCUUACCAAGGCAACGAUGCAUAGCCGACCUGAGAGGGUGAUCGGCCACACUGGAACUGAGACACGGUCCAGACUCCUACGGGAGGCAGCAGUAGGGAAUCUUCCGCAAUGGGCGAAAGCCUGACGGAGCAACGCCGCGUGAGUGAUGAAGGUCUUCGGAUCGUAAAACUCUGUUAUUAGGGAAGAACAUAUGUGUAAGUAACUGUGCACAUCUUGACGGUACCUAAUCAGAAAGCCACGGCUAACUACGUG
rnacentral:rRNA from 1 species